AUUCAACGGCAGCUGAGUGUUCAUUUGAAAUGCUGAUGACCCGAACAGCAGGCCGAGGAUUCCUCUCCAUUACUUAGUGGCAGGAAACCGUUGUCAGCUUUUAAUGAUGUAAUUCGAGCAAGUGUCAGCACGGCCAAAACGGUCCAAAGUCCGUGGCUGGAACCCCUGAUGACAAAGAUCCUGCAUGUUGACUCGCCCAACAGACGGGACGGCCGGUGCAACGCACAGGAAUGCUGCGGAGACACGACCGACUGACGGACUCAUCGCUCGCUGGACUUGGCAGCCGGUGAGGGCUUGAUGUUGAGAGAAAGAAAAUCCCGCCAGCGUUGAUAUUUCUCUGCAGGUCUGCGGGAAUCUCAUCGCUUACACGGGAGCAACUGAGAAGUGAAAGGAGCAACGCAAAUACAGCUGACGGAACAAGGGAAGUGCGAAAUAAAAUGCAGCACCAACACAGUAAUUAUGGCACUAUUUUAAUAAAGGGAAAUGAUCGUUAUUACCCGUUAUGGACUGUUUCAUGGCUGUGCAAAUUAUAGUAGUUAAAAGAUAUUGCAGUACAAAAAUUAAAAGAUGAUGUUUUACAUCAAAAUGUAUGCAUCUACAGAAGAGGCAGGACACGUUAGACACGGUGGAUUAACCAUCAGCACCAAUGAUGCACAGUGUUUUAUUUAUAUUCAUUCUAAAACAAAUUGAGGCUUUUAAAGUUCUCUCCAACCAGUCGAGUUACUGUUUACUUCCGUCUAUGUCAAGUGUCAGUUAUGACAAGAAUUCUCAAAUGAGCCCGAGGUCACGAUGACCUUGACCUUUGACCACGGAAUUCUAAUCGGUUCAUUCUAGUGGAUGUUUUGAGGAAAUUCCCCGCAGGCGUUGCGCAGAUAAGGCGUUGGUGAGAAGGGACCACUCGAUAACACCAACGCCUCCAGCCACAGCCGUCUCCAGCUCCACCACAACGUCCUUUAAAUUAAUAGUAGUAUUAACUUGGUCAGCACAGAAUAAAUGAUCCUAAAUGUAAACGCAUGUAUCGACAGAAACGGAUUUUGAUGUCUGUGCCCUCAAUGAAACCCAAAGUUAAACUUAAAGGCCAGAAGUUGUGGCGGCGUUUAACUCGCAGCCUCACUCCGCGUCUUUGCUUUGCUUUCGCGGCUCCGAACCAGCAGCGACUUCCAAAAAGUGAAGAGACAGUCACGCCUUCACGCCACCAGACAAUAAGAUUAUCCAAAGGCAAUUAAACUCGGGGCCCCGUCUUGAGAAGUCUCCAUCCAGCCCCGUCCCUUUUCCAUCCUUACCUU
ensembl:lncRNA